AACGCACAUUGCGCCCUUUGGUAUUCCUUAGGGCAUGCCUGUUCGAGCGUCAUUUAAACCUUCAAGCUCAGCUUGGUGAUGGGUGACUGUCCUCCCCUCGCGGGUGGACUCGCCUCAAAAACAUUGGCGGCCGGUACAUUGGCUUCGAGCGCAGCAGAAACGCGGUCUCGAGCCCGGUGGAUCGGCUCCCAUAAGCCUAUUCUUUUAUUUUGACCUCGGAUCAGGUAGGGAUACCCGCUGAACUUAA
rnacentral:misc_RNA from 1 species